rnacentral:rRNA from 1 species
CUCUGAACUGAAACAUCUAAGUAGGAGGAGGAAGAGAAAGAAACAUCGAUUUCCUAAGUAGCGGCGAGCGAAAGGGAAAGAGGCCAAACCAGAGAUAGCAAUAUCUUUGGGGUUGUGGACUGCAUAAUUGAUUCAAUAUUUUUAGCAGAAGUGUAUGGGAAGACACACCAUAGUAGGUAAUAGUCCUGUAAGCGAAAAGGAUAUUGACAAGGCAGGAUCCAGAGUACCACCGGACACGAGGAACCCGGUGGGAAGCCGGGGGGACCACCCCCCAAGCCUAAAUACUACCUGAUGACCGAUAGUAAAAAGUACAGUGAUGGAAAGUUGAAAAGAACCCCGGAAGGGGAGUGAAAAAGAAUCUGAAACCCUAUGUUUACAAGCUGCUAAAGCACUAUAUAUGUGCGAUAGCGUACUUUUUGUAGAACGGUCCGGCGAGUGUAUGUUGCAAGCGAGGUUAAGGUGUUAAGCACUGAAGCCGAAGGGAGACCGAGUGUGAAUAGCGCGUACAGUUUGCAGUAUACGACCCGAAACCGGGUGACCUAACCAUGGACAGGUUGAAGUGGAAGUAAAAUUCCAUGGAGGACCGAACCCACGUCUGUUGAAAAAGGCGGGGAUGAGCUGUGGUUAGCGGUGAAAUUCCAAUCGAACUCGGAUAUAGCUGGUUCUCAUCGAAAUAGCUUUAGGGCUAGCCUCAGGAUAGUUUAGCGGAGGUAAAGCACUGAAUGGGCUAGGGGGCUUCACGGCUUACCGAACCCUAUCAAACUCUGAAUGCCGCAUAAAUGUUUCCUGGGAGUCAGACUGCGUGAGAUAAGUUUCGUAGUCAAAAGGGAAAGAGCCCAGACCUACAGCUAAGGUCCCUAAAUGAAUUUAAGUGGAAAAGGAUGUGCAGUUGCGUAGACAACUAGGACGUUGGCUUAGAAGCAGCCACUCAUUUAAAGAGUGCGUAAUAGCUCACUAGUCGAGUGAUUGUGCGCCGAAAAUGUAACGGGGCUAAAAUUCAUACCGAAGCUUAGGAAUGAUAGUAAUAUUGUUGGUAGAUGAGCGUUGUGUAAGUCUGCGAAGCUACACCGAAAGGAGUAGUGGAGAUAUCACAAGUGAGAAUGCCGGAAUGAGUAGCGAGAAUUAUGUGAGAAUCAUAAUGGUCGAAAAUCUAAGGUUUCUUGAGGAAGGUUCGUCCGCUCAAGGUAAGCCGGGAGCUAAGGCGAGGCCGAGAGGCGUAGUCGAUGCACAUACGGUAAAGAUUCCGUAGCCACCGAAGUCGUUAAAUACAGGGACACAGGAACAUAGCCUAACCCCACCGUUGGUUGAGUGGGGCGUAAGGGAGCGAAAAAUAGUAGCGAAGUAGGUGAUUGUACACUGGCGAGAAAAGCUGUAUGUAUUGAUAAGGUGCCCGUACCGCAAACCGACACAGGUAGAUGAGGAGAGAAUCCUAAGACCAGCGGGAGAAGUGUUGUUAAGGAACUCGGCAAAAUGACCCCGUAACUUCGGGAUAAGGGGAGCCUACGCGAGUAGGCCGCAGAGAAUAGUCUCAAGCGACUGUUUAGCAAAAACACAGGUCUAUGCUAAAUCGAAAGAUGAUGUAUAUGGGCUGACGCCUGCCCGGUGCUGGAAGGUUAAGGGGAAGUGUUAGAGCAAUCGAAGCACUGAACUUAAGCCCCAGUAAACGGCGGCCGUAACUAUAACGGUCCUAAGGUAGCGAAAUUCCUUGUCAGGUAAGUUCUGACCCGCACGAAUGGCGUAACGACUUGAGAGCUGUCUCAACAACAUACCCGGCGAAAUUGAAGUACUGGUAAAGAUGCCAGUUACCCGUGAUAAGACGGAAAGACCCCAUGGAGCUUUACUGUAACUUGAUAUUGAAUUUUUGUAUUACAUGUACAGGAUAGGUGGGAGACAGAGAACUAAUGCCGCCAGGUGUUAGGGAGUCGAUGUUGGGAUACCACUCUUGUAAUAUGAAGGUUCUAACCUGCACCCGUGAAUCCGGGUGGGGGACACUGUCAGGUGGACAGUUUGACUGGGGCGGUCGCCUCCUAAAAGGUAACGGAGGCGUUCAAAGGUUGGUUCAGCACGGACGGAAAUCGUGCAACGAGUGCAAACGCAUAAACCAGCCUAACUGCGAGACCGACAAGUCGAGCAGUAACGAAAGUUGGAGUUAGUGAUCCGGCGGUAUGAGAGUGGAAUUGCCGUCGCUCAACGGAUAAAAGCUACCCUGGGGAUAACAGGCUGAUCUCCCCCAA